rnacentral:sRNA from 1 species
UACAUAUCGCAAGCCACAAUAUUAGGGGAAGUGUCAUAUUUACAGGUGUCAAAAGAUGAAUACAAUUGACCAAAAAAAAGCUUAUACUCGAACAGGAUAAUGGACAGACGACUUAUUGACUGGAUGCAGCAGCCACUGAUUGGAAUUUGAUAGUCAGAAAUUACAAGAUGAAUCAGGUCCUAAGAUAAGACGAUCAUGAGUUGGUACAAAUGGCUAACACAACAGACAAGACCCACGACUAUCAACUCUUUCACAGAAAAGUGGAACAAAGAUAUAUGAUCACAGACGCUCAUCUCUUAAUGAGAAAACCAAGCAGGAUUCUCAGAAUAGCAAUAACCAGCACAAAAACUAGUGAGAAACCACCGUUCUGACUCCCCAUUUGCCUCCUUAGAAGAUCCAGUUCUUCUUGAAGCUUCAUGUUCUGUUGAAUGGCAGAACUCUUCUCCUCCUUCAACUUUGAAAUCAAGGCCAAUGGCUGCACAUAGCUCAGAGGUUACUGUUUCUUAUUCUCUAGAUCCUUUUGUUGCCUGCAAAGAAAAGUUCACAAUUUGUUUCAGAUGAUAAGGAAAUGAAUCUCUCUGAAACGAGAAAUUUAACUAUUUGCCACUUUAGGUUUGCCAAUUAUCCAAAUGCCCUUAUUAGGUUUGUCCUUAAUUUUUUUUGCCCUUUUAAGGUGGUGGCAUCUUAACUAUUUGCCACUUUUGCCCAUGUGGCAUGCCAACAUGGCAACACAGUGU